GCCUCAAGUGAUGAUUAUUGGAGGUAGAGCACUGUUUGGACGAGGGGCCCCUCUCGGGUUACCGAAUUCAGACAAACUCCGAAUGCCAAUUAAUUUAACUUGGGAGUCAGAACAUGGGUGAUAAGGUCCGUGUUCGAAAGGGAAACAGCCCAGACCACCAGCUAAGGUCCCAAAAUAUAUGUUAAGUGGAAAAGGAUGUGGCGUUGCCCAGACAACUAGGAUGUUGGCUUAGAAGCAGCCAUCAUUUAAAGAGUGCGUAAUAGCUCACUAGUCGAGUGACACUGCGCCGAAAAUGUACCGGGGCUAAACAUAUUACCGAAGCUGUGGAUUGUCCUUUGGACAAUGGUAGGAGAGCGUUCUAAGGGCGUCGAAGCAUGAUCGCAAGGACAUGUGGAGCGCUUAGAAGUGAGAAUGCCGGUGUGAGUAGCGAAAGACGGGUGAGAAUCCCGUCCACCGAUUGACUAAGGUUUCCAGAGGAAGGCUCGUCCGCUCUGGGUUAGUCGGGUCCUAAGCUGAGGCCGACAGGCGUAGGCGAUGGAUAACAGGUUGAUAUUCCUGUACCACCUAGUA
rnacentral:rRNA from 1 species